rnacentral:lncRNA from 1 species
CACAGAAGGGAGAAGUAGUGAUCAGGGAGGAAAGAGAGAGGGAUCCAUGGGCAAACGGAUAGGAGCCUGAUCAAGUCUAACUAGAAGCUUCACCCCUACUGCCUGGCAUUCAUGGUACUGGAAGGUACUCCGCAGAUGACCAGAGGAGAAAGGAAAUCCUCAACCAAGCUACUGAACCCCGCGAUCUACAACAUUAACCUGCCGCCACAAUAUGUUACUGCAAUAGUGGUAAAGAUGUUAUCGGCGUAACCAAGCACUUAAACAACUUUCCUGAGAUUAUGAUUUAUUACAACAUGUCUCCCUUAUCCUUUCACCCUCCAAACCCUUUCAGAUACCUUUUCCCCACACGUCUUUAAAUUCAUAGCUUCUAUUUCCCAACCACAUUUUUUUUUUUGGUGUUUCGAGACAGGGUUUCUCUGUGUAGCCCUGGCUGUCCUGGAACUCACUCUGUAGACCAGGCUGGCCUCGAACUCAGAAGUCCUCCUGCCUCUGCCUCCCGAGUGCUGGGGAUUAAAGGCUUGUGCCACCACACCCGGCUCCAACCACAUUUUUGAACGGGUUUAUUGAGAUGGAAUUCACACCCGGCACUGCUAAAGUAGCCAAGAACCCGAGGCUAAACAGGUCGUGGGCCUAGGAGGAAAGCUA